rnacentral:rRNA from 1 species
UACGGAGGGUGCAAGCGUUAAUCGGAAUUACUGGGCGUAAAGCGUGCGCAGGCGGUCUUUUAAGUCGGGUGUUAAAGGCCCGAGCUCAACCUGGGAAUUGCACCGGAAACUGGAAGGCUAGAGUAUAGUAGAGGAAGGUGGAAUUCCCGGUGUAGCGGUGAAAUGCGUAGAGAUCGGGAGGAACACCAGUGGCGAAGGCGGCCUUCUGGACCAAAACUGACGCUCAGGCACGAAAGCGUGGGGAGCAAACAGG